rnacentral:rRNA from 1 species
UACGUAGGGGGCUAGCGUUGUCCGGAAUCAUUGGGCGUAAAGCGCGCGUAGGCGGCCUGGUAAGUCCGCUGUGAAAGUCAAAGGCUCAACCUUUGAAUGUCAGCGGAUACUGCCAGGCUAGAGUCCGGAAGAGGCGAGUGGAAUUCCUGGUGUAGCGGUGGAAUGCGCAGAUAUCAGGAGGAACACCAACGGCGAAGGCAGCUCGCUGGGACGGUACUGACGCUGAGACGCGAAAGCGUGGGGAGCGAACAGG